AUUACUUGAGGGCAGAACAGGCAGCUGCCACGCCACUUUGUGGUCUUUCAAGAGAUGUAGGGGUGCCAACCUACCAAGUAAU
rnacentral:ncRNA from 22 species